AAUCAUGGCUCAGGAUGAACGCUGGCGGCGUGCUUAACACAUGCAAGUCGAACGGGAAACAUUUCAUUGAGGCUUCGGCGGAUUUGGUCUGUUUCUAGUGGCGGACGGGUGAGUAACGCGUGGGUAACCUGCCUUAUACUGGGGGAUAACAGCCAGAAAUGGCUGCUAAUACCGCNUAAGCGCACGGGACCGCAUGGUCCUGUGUGAAAAACUCCGGUGGUAUAAGAUGGACCCGCGUUGGAUUAG
rnacentral:rRNA from 1 species